UGAGAACAUGUGUUCAAGGUGGUCGGG
rnacentral:piRNA from 1 species